AGUGAACGCUGGCGGCGUGCUUAACACAUGCAAGUCGAACGAGAACGGAUUAUAGCUUGCUAUAAUUGUCAGCUAAGUGGCGCACGGGUGAGUAAUAUAUAGGUAACGUGCCCUAGAGAGGGGGAUAACAGUUGGAAACGAUUGCUAACACCCCAUAUGCCUUUAAGACUUAAGUCUGCAAGGGAAAUAUUUAUAGCUCUAGGAUCGGCCUGUACAGUAUCAGUUAGUUGGUGAGGUAAUGGCUCACCAAGACAAUGACGCUUAACUGGUUUGAGAGGAUGAUCAGCCACACGGGCACUGAGACACGGGCCCGACUCCUACGGGAGGCAGCAGUAGGGAAUAUUGGACAAUGGGCGCAAGCCUGAUCCAGCCAUCCCGCGUGAAGGAUUAAGGCCCUCUGGGUUGUAAACUUCUUUUCUUUGGGAAUAAAAACUCCGUUUCUACGGAGCUUGAAGGUACCAGAGGAAUAAGCACCGGCUAACUCCGUGCCAGCAGCCGACGG
rnacentral:rRNA from 1 species